UUACUGACUAGAGGUCUUCAUUUGGUUGGAUUUUGUUUUAUUUGAAAAGGAACGAAAAUUACCCGAUGAAAAUGAUGAAUUGCCGGCGAGUGAUUUGGUUUCAGCAGAUAACUCCGAGCAGGGUUCUUCUCAGCCCGUGGCCAAUGAUGAAUCACCAGACUCGGGUAGACUUCAGUCUGAAAGCCCUGUAAAUGACAAUGAUGCUGUAACUAAUGUUGACCAACCCAAAGUUGAGGAUGUUAAAGACACUCAAGUUGCGAGUGGUUCACCUCUCCCAGGUGUGAAGGUGAUGAUAAUGUAGAAUUAUUUUUUG